rnacentral:rRNA from 1 species
GCAGUAGCCGCGGGAACACGUAGGUGGCAAGCGUUGUCCGGAAUUAUUGGGCGUAAAGGGCUCGCAGGCGGUUUCUUAAGUCUGAUGUGAAAGCCCCCGGCUCAACCGGGGAGGGUCAUUGGAAACUGGGAAACUUGAGUGCAGAAGAGGAGAGUGGAAUUCCACGUGUAGCGGUGAAAUGCGUAGAGAUGUGGAGGAACACCAGUGGCGAAGGCGACUCUCUGGUCUGUAACUGACGCUGAGGAGCGAAAGCGUGGGGAGCGAACAGGAUUAGAUACCCCGGUAGUCCCUGUCUCUUAUAC